GUUUAGCUGUACAAAAGACAUCCAGCAACAUGUCUUUCGAUGAAACAUCGGCCGAUCGCAAUGUGGAGAUUUGGAAGAUCAAAAAGCUCAUUAAAAGCUUGGAAAUGGCCAGAGGUAAUGGAACGAGUAUGAUUUCUUUAAUCAUACCUCCUAAGGAUCAAAUCAGUCGCGUAAGCAAAAUGCUUGCCGAUGAGUUUGGAACCGCAUCAAAUAUUAAAUCCCGUGUAAACCGUCUAUCUGUUCUCGGCGCAAUUACGUCUGUUCAACACAGAUUAAAACUAUACACCAAAGUGCCUCCAAAUGGAUUAGUCAUUUACUGUGGUACAAUCGUGACUGAAGAGGGGAAGGAAAAAAAGGUUAACAUCGAUUUUGAACCGUUCAAACCAAUCAAUACCUCCCUUUAUUUAUGUGACAACAAAUUUCACACUGAAGCACUAACUGCACUUCUGGCCGAUGACAAUAAGUUCGGCUUUAUUGUUAUGGAUGGUAAUGGAGCUCUGUUUGGCACGCUGCAGGGAAACACUCGUGAGGUGCUUCAUAAAUUUACAGUCGACCUACCGAAAAAGCAUGGGCGUGGUGGACAGUCGGCGUUGCGUUUUGCAAGAUUGCGAAUGGAAAAACGUCACAAUUACGUACGAAAAGUAGCUGAGGUUGCAACACAACUGUUCAUUACCAAUGAUAAACCCAACAUUGCCGGAUUGAUUUUGGCCGGUAGUGCAGACUUUAAAACUGAGCUUAGCCAGUCUGAUAUGUUCGAUCCAAGAUUGCAAUCAAAAGUUAUAAAACUUGUUGAUGUGUCUUAUGGAGGAGAGAAUGGUUUUAAUCAGGCAAUUGAGCUAGCAGCUGAGUCUUUACAAAAUGUUAAAUUUAUUCAAGAAAAAAAACUUAUUGGUAGAUAUUUUGAUGAAAUAUCUCAGGAUACUGGCAAAUACUGCUUUGGUGUGGAAGAUACUCUUAAGGCCCUGGAGUUAGGAUCUGUAGAAACACUUAUAUGCUGGGAAAAUCUGGAUAUUCAGCGUUACGUUUUGAAGAAUCAUGCUAGCGCAACGUCUACGACAGUAUUACACUUAACACCCGAGCAAGAAAAGGACAAAUCUCAUUUCACUGAUAAAGAGAGUGGCGUUGAGAUGGAAUUAGUCGAAUCGCAACCUCUGCUUGAAUGGUUAGCGAACAACUAUAAGUGUUUUGGGGCUACGUUGGAAAUUAUUACGGAUAAAUCACAAGAAGGUAGUCAAUUUGUACGUGGUUUCGGAGGAAUAGGAGGAAUUCUCCGUUAUAAAGUGGAUUUCCAAUCCUUACAAGCAGAUGAACCAUUGGAUGAUGUUGAUUUAGAUGAUUAUUAAUUUGUUUAUCAUUCAUAGUCUAUUACAAGCAUACACUAUAUGCUCAUCAUAAUUGCACUACGAAGAAUUACAAAAGGAUGUCCUUUAUUUAUUUAUCUUAUAUUUUCUUUCAACGUAUCGAUCAAUUUGGUGAUCGAUGCCUUAUAUUGGCUUUAAAGCCAAGUAAUAUGUCUAUACAUUUGUGCCAUUCAGUUCUUGCUACGCGGUUUAACUCAUAAUUGAUGGUUCAAUAUCAAAAAUAUUAUAUUACUGCCAUUUGAGCUAAGCAACGUCCGUACUCCGUCACGGUUCGUAGGAGAGAGCCCCGAACGCUCUCUUCCUUGCACCCACGAUGCUAUGCCCUCCACCCGAGCGGCACUCAUCACUUCGUUCCCAGGGGCCGGCAACCUAUCUUGUACUCUACAACACUUAUAGCUUUCACUUGGAUGACUUCAAUAAUGGAAUACUUCGUUAUAAGGUAGACUUUCAAAGCAUGCAGCUGGAUGAAUUGGAUAAUGAUUGUUUCGACCUGGAAGACUAUUAAAUAACAACAAGCUGUUUUAAAAGUGCAUGAUUGACUAUACAUGCUAAUGGAAUAAUAGUGAUGUACACCUCUUAAUAUCCAUCUUAAAAAUUAAAAAUAUAUAAAGCAAAGGAUAAAUUUGUAAGAUCCCGUUCGAAAUUGGAGAGAUUUAAAAACUUCCAUAAAUACACCAUUCUCGCAGAAAGCGAGAAAAUUAAAAAAAGUCAGUUAUACGAUUUAUGUAGGCACGAAGUAUAAA